AUGCACUGGUUUGCAUGGUGGAAAUUAUGUGUUCCAAAGAAGAAGGGUGGCAUGAGGUUUAGGGACCUUCACAUCUUUAAUCUUGCUAUGUUAACAAAGCAGUGUUGACGACUUCUCCAAAAUCCGGAUUCUUUGUGUGCAUGUGUUUUGGGUGCUAAGUAUUAUCCAAAUGGUGAUAUUCUGAAGGCAGGGCCCAAAAAGGGUUCAUCGUUCACUUGGCAAAGCAUUGUUGCAGGUAUACAAACAUUC
rnacentral:rRNA from 1 species